GAUGAACGCUGGCGGCGUGCCUAAUACAUGCAAGUCGAGCGAACGGACGAGAAGCUUGCUUUUCUGAUGUUAGCGGCGGACGGGUGAGUAACACGUGGAUAACCUACCUAUAAGACUGGGAUAACUUCGGGAAACCGUAGCUAAUACCGGAUAAUAUUUUGAACCGCAUGGUUCAAAAGUGAAAGACGGUCUUGCUGUCACUUAUAGAUGGAUCCGCGCUGCAUUAGCUAGUUGGUAAGGUAACGGCUUACCAAGGCAACGAUGCAUAGCCGACCUGAGAGGGUGAUCGGCCACACUGGAACUGAGACACGGUCCAGACUCCUACGGGAGGCAGCAGUAGGGAAUCUUCCGCAAUGGGCGAAAGCCUGACGGAGCAACGCCGCGUGAGUGAUGAAGGUCUUCGGAUCGUAAAGCUCUGUUAUUGGGGAAGAACAUAUGUGUGAGUAAAUGUGCACAUCUUGACGGUACCUAAUCAGAAAGCAACGGCUAACUACGUG
rnacentral:rRNA from 1 species